rnacentral:rRNA from 1 species
GAACUGUAGAGUUUGAUCCUGGCUCAGAUUGAACGCUGGCGGCAUGCUUUACACAUGCAAGUCGAACGGCAGCACGGACUUCGGUCUGGUGGCGAGUGGCGAACGGGUGAGUAAUACAUCGGAACGUGCCCAGUUGUGGGGGAUAACUACUCGAAAGAGUGGCUAAUACCGCAUGAGAACUGAGGUUGAAAGCAGGGGACCGCAAGGCCUUGCGCAACUGGAGCGGCCGAUGGCAGAUUAGGUAGUUGGUGGGGUAAAGGCUUACCAAGCCUGCGAUCUGUAGCUGGUCUGAGAGGACGACCAGCCACACUGGGACUGAGACACGGCCCAGACUCCUACGGGAGGC